rnacentral:rRNA from 1 species
AGAGUUUGAUCCUGCGCUCAGGAUGAACGCUAGCUACAGGCUUAACACAUGCAAGUCGAGGGGAAACGACAUCGAAAGCUUGCUUUUGAUGGGCGUCGACCGGCGCACGGGUGAGUAACGCGUAUCCAACCUGCCCACCACUUGGGGAUAACCUUGCGAAAGUAAGACUAAUACCCAAUGACGUCUCUAGAAGACAUCUGAAAGAGAUUAAAGAUUUAUCGGUGAUGGAUGGGGAUGCGUCUGAUUAGCUUGUUGGCGGGGUAACGGCCCACCAAGGCGACGAUCAGUAGGGGUUCUGAGAGGAAGGUCCCCCACAUUGGAACUGAGACACGGUCCAAACUCCUACGGGAGGCAGCAGUGAGGAAUAUUGGUCAAUGGACGAGAGUCUGAACCAGCCAAGUAGCGUGCAGGAUGACGGCCCUAUGGGUUGUAAACUGCUUUUAUAAGGGAAUAAAGUGAGUCUCGUGAGACUUUUUGCAUGUACCUUAUGAAUAAGGACCGGCUAAUUCCGUGCCAGCAGCCGCGGUAAUACGGAAGGUCCGGGCGUUAUCCGGAUUUAUUGGGUUUAAAGGGAGCGUAGGCCGGAGAUUAAGCGUGUUGUGAAAUGUAGACGCUCAACGUCUGCACUGCAGCGCGAACUGGUUUCCUUGAGUACGCACAAAGUGGGCGGAAUUCGUGGUGUAGCGGUGAAAUGCUUAGAUAUCACGAAGAACUCCGAUUGCGAAGGCAGCUCACUGGAGCGCAACUGACGCUGAAGCUCGAAAGUGCGGGUAUCGAACAGGAUUAGAUACCCUGGUAGUCCGCACGGUAAACGAUGGAUGCCCGCUGUUGGUCUGAAUAGGUCAGCGGCCAAGCGAAAGCAUUAAGCAUCCCACCUGGGGAGUACGCCGGCAACGGUGAAACUCAAAGGAAUUGACGGAAGGGCGA